rnacentral:rRNA from 1 species
GACGAACGCUGGCGGCGUGCUUAACACAUGCAAGUCGAACGGAAAGGCCCUGCUUUUGUGGGGUGCUCGAGUGGCGAACGGGUGAGUAACACGUGAGUAACCUGCCCUUGACUUUGGGAUAACUUCAGGAAACUGGGGCUAAUACCGGAUAGGAGCUCCUGCUGCAUGGUGGGGGUUGGAAAGUUUCGGCGGUUGGGGAUGGACUCGCGGCUUAUCAGCUUGUUGGCGGGGUAGUGGCUUACCAAGGCUUUGACGGGUAGCCGGCCUGAGAGGGUGACCGGCCACAUUGGGACUGAGAUACGGCCCAGACUCCUACGGGAGGCAGCAGUGGGGAAUAUUGCACAAUGGGCGGAAGCCUGAUGCAGCAACGCCGCGUGCGGGAUGACGGCCUUCGGGUUGUAAACCGCUUUCGCCUGUGACGAAGCGUGAGUGACGGUAAUGGGUAAAGAAGCACCGGCUAACUACGU